rnacentral:rRNA from 1 species
UACGUAGGCAGCGAGCGUUGCUCGGAAUCACUGGGCGUAAAGGGCGCGUGGGCGGGAAUGUAAGUCGGGCGUGAAAUCCCCAGGCUCAACCUGGGAACUGCACUCGAAACUGCGUUUCUUGAGUAUCGGAGAGGAAAGCGGAAUUCCUGGUGUAGAGGUGAAAUUCGUAGAUAUCAGGAGGAACACCAGUGGCGAAGGCGGCUUUCUGGACGGUAACUGACGCUGAGGCGCGAAAGCGUGGGGAGCAAACAGG